rnacentral:lncRNA from 1 species
AGCCCGCCAUGCCUGAGCUUCCCCCCGCCCCCGCCGUGGGCUCCUGUGCGGCCCGAGCCUCCCCGACGAGCGCCGCCCCCUGCUCCACGAUGCCCAGUCCCAUCGACCACCCAAGGGCUGAGGAGUGCGGGCUCACGGUUACAGGAUUCCCAUUUCAGAACUACGACCAUUUGAAAAAUAGAAGAUUUAAAGAUUGACGCAAAGUGCAUGUACCAUGAUACACCAGUUCACCCUGGAGUAUGGCACACCAAAUUUUAAGAGUAUUCCUUCUCAGAUGGAACUUCUUCAUGCCUUUAGCAGGGUCUUUUAACUCUAUCCAAGCAGCCAUAUGGGAAAAGAACAAUGGAUUCUAAUUAUAGCUCUCUAAGUAAAUGGCCAUAUGUCCCUUUGGAGAAGCACUGAAUCA